ACUGGCCCAAGCAUCUUUACGCGAGCGUUUCGGAGCGACCGUUUAUAAGGCCCAAGUCCUCUGGGGCGGGCCCACUUUUCCUAAAGCGUACGUUCAUUGGCUGAACCCGCCUGACACUCAGCCCUGGGCCGGCGUCCUGUUGACCCUGACGGCGACCUCUCAGAAUCCUGGGAAGUUUGGCGUCUUCGAAGGCAGCGGAGCCGCGGCGCCUCAGAGGGUUCCCGAGGGCCGUGGAGCCUGCGAAGGCUACCUCCGCCGGCUGACGCCUCAGCCUUCGCCCCGCGCGCCGGUCUCGGGCUUCACGGAAAUGAAAACAAGCCAAGAGUAAAACAAAACCAGUACAAAUCCCCAAGUCAAAGCAGCUACAAUCAAAUUCAAGGAAAGCAAAGAUUGCCGGAGACUGUCCAUGAAAUCGUCUUCAUCCUUUGCGCUACUCUCUGACCUGCUCUAGUACAUGAAAGGUGUCAUGAAGCCUUUGUGCCCGGGCACUGCAGUUCCCUCUGGGUUCUGGCAUCGGGUUCUCCUCUACCUGUUCAGCAGCAUCAGACAAUCUCGCUGGCACCCGGGCCUGGCCUUGGCUAUAACGCUCUCAUCUGGCGUCUCUCCUCUCCCAGGGUUGGCUUCCUAAGCUCUGGUGUCAGAUCUGCAAAUCCUUCCGUGGGAGCACAUGGGACACUUAGGAUGAAGGAUGGUUAGGAAUGGCUUCUUCCUGAGCUUACAAAUAUCGCCUGACCCGUCCUGGCAACACCUGGCUUAUAAAGCAACUACAGUGGUCAUCUUCUUCCCAGAGGCUAUGGGUUAAAUCCAGGAUACCACAUUGCCUUCAGAGGUUUAUCAUUGUUUUAAAAUUCUUUAUAGAUCAUGCAACGCCUUCAUGCGUGCCCCCAGGGCUGACUGCUUCCACUGCCCUGACCUUAGUAUACCACUGAUUCCACUAAACCACUGUGGUAUCAGAGGCAAGAAUGUGAUAUGAUAUGCUGGACCGUCGGAGCACCAACACUACACUUUGUCAAGCUGGAGCUCCAUCAGCGAGACACUUCAACAGUGACUGGAGAACUUGCUGCUACCUGAGAGGUGUGCACAGGUGCUAUGUGACCCCUCCAGCCUAAGUGCCCUGAAGACAGCUUUGUGAAGGAAGAGGUACACACCCUUUAUCUUCAAGGAUAGUUACCUUUAUAGGCAAAGGGACAUAGCACAAGGGCCUUGUGAGAGGAACAAAGACACAGAGAUUGGAAACUGCAGGGUCUGUUCUGGAAAGAGGGGCUACUCCAAUCUAGUUAAGCACUGGUGUUUCAGAAUUAUCAGCUGCCAUGAUGGGACAGGUGGGGAGAGACAAAUGGUGCUCACUUGAUCAGUGCCAUGCUCUAGGAAGCCUGAAAGGCUCCAGUUUGGGUGGGCAGAGGGGACCCUGUGCUGGUCUCUAGUCUGAGUCCUGUUUCAGCUACCUGCUAAUUAUGUGGCCCUUUGUCUUUCAUGAGUCUCAGAACAGCUAUAAGAAGGGGCUGGUAAUCACUGUCUUUCCUCCCUCACAGGGUAACUGUAAAGCACAAUAUAAACAUGAAAGGUUAUUAUCUCCUCCACGUCCAGACCUAACUAUAGAUUCACCCAUCUUAGGUUGUUGCCCCAGCCUCAGAGGAGUGACCCUCAGGCCUCCUCCUUGGUUUCAUCCAUGAUCUCCCAUAUUUCUAGUAUUUUAAGUAUUUCCCUCUCUCUCUCCUGAGUGUUUUUUCUCUGUCUCCAAAUAUGCUCUGAUCUUAAAAAAUAAAGAUCCUUCCUUGGAUCUUCUGUAUCUCCUAAGACACUAUCCAUUUCCCUUGUUCUCACCAAACUUCUUAAAAGAAUAGACUAUUUUCUCACCUUUUCUCAUCUUCUACCCACUGUUAACUAUGCCUCCUCCAAUGUCCAAUUAAGAGUGGGCCCUCAGAACUCUCCUACAGUGUUGGUGGGAAUGUAAAUUGAUACAGCCACUGUGGAGAACAGUAUGGAGGUUCCUUAAAAAACUAGAAAUAGAGUUACCAUAUGA